GAAUGUGAAGACAAUCCUGUGACGUCUUUCACCUCAUUGGACUUCAGGGUUAACUUGAUUGAUGGGGCUAGGGGGCGUGUCCCCUCCUGCAUCACUCCAAGUGCAUACUUCAUGGUGCUGUGCACUCAAACAGGACAACCUUCCCUAAUGGAGUGCGACGUAAUUUCCA
rfam:Cricetulus griseus cell line CHO-K1, whole genome shotgun sequence.